GCAGAAUCUAAAGAAAGAAAAAGUUAGCUAAAAUUUUCACGCAUAUUUAUUUGACACAUUCUAGAAAUAAAUCGUUUGACCCUAAAUUAUUUUUAUUAUUCGAAUUGCGCAAUGUACCUGGCUCAUAUGUCUCCUGUGAAACAGAUGUAUAUACAUUGGGAUACAACUUUGAAAGUAUUGCUAAACAUGUUGCAUCAGAAAAGCUUUUGAUGAUUGCAACAAACAUGUUAAAAAACAAACCACAUGAGAGACCUUUGUUGUCUCAAUUGCUUAUUCAACUCAGUAGAUUAUAAUAAUUUAUAUAUUAUUCAGCUCGAUUUUUAUUGAGCACUCUAUGUAAAAACAAAACAAUAAAAUAUUUAUAUUUUAUUCUACAUAUAUAUUUAUUGUCAGAAUUUUUUGCGAAUUUGCAUUGCAUUCGAGAAAUUAAGUCUCCCAAAAAUUUUCAUUGACUGAUUUGCGAAAUUAAUGCAUGCCUGGCAUAUGCAAGCAUACGUUUACUAAUUUAUUUGAAGAUAUAACUUUUGAUUCAAUAACCAUUUAAAUUUUUUGCUAUUUUGCUUUCAUGUGCACCAGUUAUGCUUGACACAUACAGGUGGUUGGAGCAUGCUGACAGGCUGCCUUAUAAGAGGGCGUGCCUGGCACAUGCAAGCAUACUUAUAGCAAUCUAUUUGAAGAUAUAACUUUUGAUUCAAUAACCAUUUAAAAUUUUUGCUAUUUUGCUUUCAUGUGCACCAGUUAUGCUUGACACAUACAGGUGGUUGGAGCAUGCUGACAGGCUGCCUUAUAAGAGGGCGUGCCUGGCACAUGCAAGCAUACUUAUAGCAAUCUAUUUGAAGAUAUAACUUUUGAUUCAAUAACCAUUUAAAAUUUUUGCUAUUUUGCUUUCAUGUGCACCAGUUAUGCUUGACACAUACAGGUGGUUGGAGCAUGCUAACAGGCUGCCUUAUAAGAGGGCGUGCCUGGCAUAUGCAAGCAUUUAUAGCAAUCUAUUCGAAAACAUUGUGACAAAAAAAUAUAUAGCUGAAGCUAAAUAUCAAGUAUUUAGUAAUUCUUAGUUAUAAAUCAUCAUAUUUAAAAAGCUGCAUGUUUUGUUCCAAAGCCCAUGUAAAUUCUUUUAAUUUGUUUUGACUUAAAAAAUCCAACUUUUCAUGAAAAAGGCAUAUUGACUAAAAUUUAAUCCCGCGAAAUAUCUGAACUCGAUCGAUUCGCAAAAAAUUGUGACAUUUAAGUACUUGAAAGACAUUCAUAACUAUGCAGAAGUGAAAAUGCUGAUAAAUAAACGUAGAGGAUUGAAAACUUAUGAUUGUAUUGUCUGCUUGAAGGUUCCUUCAAUACAUUUUGUGCACCUGUGGAAUUCUAUUAAAAAAUAGAGUGCUUGCUUGCUUGAUAAAUUACAAUUCUUACACUAAAAUUAUAACAAAAAUAAGAAAAUUAACUUGGUGAUCACUACUUGCUUUAUACCAGAGACCUGCACACACCACUAGUAUUAUGUAUAUAUACAAAUUAGGUUAAAACUUAGUUAUUAAACUUGUAAUUAUUGCAAAGAGCUGGAAAAAGAUUGAGAUUUUCUAUCAGCCAACUUCAUGCCUCAUUCGACAGUCUUACAAUCCGGUAUUUGAUCUUGUCAUGUUAAGUCAAUAUUUAAAUCCUUAAUUCCCUUGAGUAACCAUUGUUUUAUAUUAGCUAUAUUUGAAUAAAAUGAGUUGGAGCCGAGCAAUAUGGUUGGAAAACAAACAAGAAGAAGAAGGUACAAUACCAACAGUUUGGAUAAAAAAUAAUUUAGUCUACUGGCCAAGUUUUUUGAAUGUCGAGAAGGCAGCUGCAGAAUUAAAAGAACCUACAGCAUUAUGGCACAAAUUUCCACUAGUCCGAGUUAAAAUUACAGGAGGUACGAUGCUAAGUGGCUUUACUUCAAUUAAUUAGUCAAAUACAACUUUAAAAAAAACUAAUCAUGUAUCAGAACCAUUAUAUAUUAUCUUUACAGAUAGAAAACUAUGUGAGGAGUUUGAUUUCACGGAGGCAGAAACGGAUGACGAAGAAGUCAUCACAAAAAAACAAAGCUCGCCGUCUUGUGAUGUAUUGUUUACAAAAAGUAUGAUUAAUUUUGUAUUCCAGAAAUUUUUAUGCAAUUUUUAUGCAAUUCGUAAAAGCUUGUUACGUUUUUACUUUGUGUAUUUCGAAAUGUUCAAAGUUUUCAAACAUUUAUUUUUGAAAAGCACUGUUGCUAUGAUUUUUUUAUGCAAAAAUGAAAACUUUUAGAAAAACCAAUACCAAGUGAACCACCAAUGACAUAUCGACAUAUAGAAGAUGAUGCUCAAGACUCUGAAACUGUUAUCAAACAUCAAAAGAAUGCGACAGAAGGAGAAGUUCGUGCGUGUACGGCAUCAAUCCUUAAAUAUGCACCUGAUAGAUGUGGAGGAGCGGGAAGAACUAAUGCCGAAGAAAAUUAAAUCGAUUAAUUUUUAAAUAAUUUACAACUUUUAUAUCAGAGAGGAUUAUAAAUUUUUCAAGCGCCGUAAUAAAUUCUUCUAGCUUAUAUUAAUUUUGAUUGGGUGGCAGAAAAUUAGAAUGGCAAAAUGUUAAAGUGAUUUUAGCUCAACAAUUUUUAGUGUUUCUACUAGAGAUCGGACUUGUGACUAGUAAAAGUAUGGAAUAUGCAUGAGUGGGUGCUUUUUUUAAGGAAAUACAGUGCUAAUAUAAUAUUCAUUAUAUUUUUAUUGUAAUUUUCAACCUCGAUUCCUGGACUUCUUGCACCUGGUGAGGACGGUGGCUUUUCACACUUUUUAUAAAGUAUAGCAUCAUGAUCGUAUUUAUUCGCAUCUGGUAUCCUUAACAAACACCCUUGUAUUCAACUCUGACUUCAUUAAGAAAACAUACUUUUUCUCUAACCAAUGCUUGAUUAAAGACUUCGGUGCAACAGUUUUGCUUGACACUUUAGGUGAUUUGAGCAUACUAACAGGCUGCCUUAUCAGGAGGCGUGCCUGGCACAUGAAAUCGCAGCUAUAAAUUUGCAAAUACUGCACGUUUAACAACCUCGUCAUUGCUGCGUUACAUUUUUUGCAUUGGGUUGGAACGCUGGAGAUUCUCACAUAGUACCAGUUGUGAAUACUUGAAAUAUCGUUUUUAUAUUUUGUAUUAUAAAACUCCGUUAAGUUUCAUUUAGGAAGUUUUCAGCGGAGAAGUUGUAUAUACUGCCGAUGUUUAUAAUAAAAAAAUGACAUAUCGUAGAAAUGAUUUUAUUUCUUUUUCGCAAUAACCAUGUACAAAUAACGUAACACAAAUAUAAGCGUCGGAAUCAUGCUAGGGAAUAGAUACAUGGACAUGUAAACUAUGGACAUAUAAAACUGAAGCCACAAUGGCGAUUAUGAUUUGAUUCGGUCAAGUUUGUCUGUUUCUUAAGGUUGAAAAGACGCUGAAUAACGGUUGCGAGAGCAUUUCCAAACGACGUUGAUUAGACGUUGUUAGACGUUUUUUCAACGUUGAAAAGACGUUG